UAAUCCAAGAAAGAAAUAAUGUGAUUAGCUGCUGAGGAACAUAAUACUGAACUAGGUAAAUUUGUAUAGUAUAUAAGUGUGUCUAACUAGUACAAGGCUCGAUAACAAAAAUGCUAAGUUGCGACAGCUAUUCUUAUACUUCAAAUCUACUAACUGCAGUGCAAAAUAGAAAGCUAUAUUCUUUUCAAAUGUUGUAAGUUGUAACACAUUGUAUGACGUAUGGAAAACUUUGCAGACACAUAUCUUCAUUGCUGAAAAUGUCUGCCUAUACUCUGAUCAAACGGCUAGCCAAUAGCCAACCGUUAGAAGCUUUAUACGUGCUGAUCCUUGCUAGAAUUCCAGCUAGGGGCCUGAGCAACAACACUAUCUGGUAAAUUGCCAGAGCCUUUUUCAACAUUUAUUAGAGGAUCGGUUUCACUUUCGUUUACCUGAGACAGAAGUGAGGUAGCGUCUAUAGACUUCUGCUGGCUCUCAAUGGAACAACAAUAUGAAUAGAGUAUCAUCCCAAGCAUAGCAAUGACGAUACCCAGAAUGUUUCGCCAGCUGAAGGGAUCACGAAGUAGA
rnacentral:misc_RNA from 1 species